AUAAAUUUCCUCGUCACCUUGCCAAAAAAAACAAGAUUGCAUUUUUGGCUAAGCAGACUCUAUCCAAAUUUUUCUCAUAUUAUUACGCAUUAUAGAUUCUUAUCCUUCACUUUACUAUACCUUUUCUUUCUUCAUUCUGGUCCCUUCGAUUCAGAAAUAUCUUGGAAUUUCAGUGAAAUUUAGCAAUGGGCAGCGCUUCAUCGAUGUUAACUCAGUAUGAAAUUGAAGAAGUUCAAGAACACUGUAAUUAUCUGUUUACUCAGCAAGAAAUAGUGUCUGUGUAUAAGAGAUUUUGCCAACUCGAUAAGAAUGCAAAGGGGUUCAUAUCAGCAGAUGAGUUUUUAUCAGCACCUGAGUUUGCAAUGAAUCCACUUUCUCAGAGGCUACUGAAGUUGGUGGAUGGAUUGAAUUUCAAGGAAUUCGUUGCAUUCUUGUCAGCUUUCAGUGCUAAAGCAACGGUGCCUCAAAAAAUUGAGAUUAUUGUUGAAAAAUGAAUUGCCACAUGGAUGAGCUGACAUGGACAAGCCACGUAAACAGCCUGAGGAAGUAUUCUAGAAGAAGAAAGAUAUAGCCACUUGCGUGAGGAAUAUUCUAACAGAAGAGUAGUGUAGAAGAUGAGGGAUUCUUUCUCUUUCCAAUUCUGUUAUGAUUGUAUAAUAGUCACAUUUCUAUAUAUAGCUGUAAAUAUUAAUUCAUAUAUACAAGAUACAGGAGAAAUAGUUCUGCAUUUUCGUCAUUCUCCUCUGCAUAAUUGUUUUUUUCAUUUUCUGAUAGUUAUCUUCAAAAUAUACAACUCUGAUUGCAAUGGAAAGGUAACAUUUAAUGACAUAAUACAAGUGCUCCAUGAUUUGACUGGCUCAUUCAUGUCAGAUAAGCAAAGAGAGGAAGUAUUAAGCCAACUUUUGCAUGAAGCUGGUUAUACAAAGGAAUCUUAUCUUCUGUUAGAUGACUUUGUCAAGAUAUUAGACAACCCGGUUUGAAAAUGGAGGUGGAUGUCCCCGAUGACUAGCAAAGCUUGCUCUUCUCAUCUCGUCAUUGAUAGAAGAUAAAUGGAAUUAUGGAAGAGUAUUCGGGCUUGAGGCUUCCCAUUGUAGAUGUGCACAUGUGUACCUGUAUUAGUGUUCCUCAUUUUCUUUUUUUCUUAAGAUAGGAAAAGGAAUAUCUAUACUUACAAUUGAAAAUAAGCUGAAAGGUGGAUCACAACAUAGUAUUGGUGCAAGUUGAUUGGUCUAAAGAAUAUAACUUGGAUUGUGCUAGUUAUGGGGUGAUAUGGACCAUAGAUUAAAUCCAAUGGUUGGAUUUAAUCUAGUGGUCAAUUACCUAUACUAGUAUUGUCACUCUCUAAACCAUAGUACAAUAUUUGAAUUUUGAAUUCAAAUGAAUUGGCUCUAUAAUUUCAAGACCUCUUCAUUCUCUCUACUUGGACUUGGCAUAACAUUUGAGAGAGAGCAUAGAGAGGUAACCAAGUGGGAGCUUUCCAUAACUCCGACGAAAUUCUUAGUGGCUUCCGACGGAUCAUUUCUCGGUAUAUCCAUUGCCAUUCCCAUGGACGACGGUGCAUGAUCCGAUGUGGCACAAAUCUGAGCUCAACAUCAAGAACACUUCAUUGGUGGUGUUGAAGAAGCUUUGAAUCGGUUUUGAUGGUAUCAGAGCUUAGGCUAGUGGUAAAAAGUGUUAAAACAACUUCAAAAUCAGAUUAGAAGUCGAAGGGGUUCGGUUUUGUUCGAAAACAAGUUGAGCAGAAACUUUGAACCCAUUUUCUGAAAAAAGUACACAUCUGGUGGACGAACGGAGACCACCACCAGACUCCGGACGUCAAGCACUAUAUUCCAGUGAAGCGCGGGUGAGUCACGCGCCGACGGUGGAGGUGGCAUGUGAGACCACACGAAGAGAACAAAGGCGACACGUGAGGGCGCAUCGUGAGGUUUCAACUGGAGAUCAAAAAAUACAGAUUCUUCCUUGAUGAAUUUCUGACAUUCUGGUGGUGUUGGAUUUCUGUUUGGUGCACUGUGGAAGAAGAUACAGUCUUGGGCAGAAAAGUGGAAACGGAGAAACUUUUCCGUUAGCGGCUCGGUGGUGUUUCCUAGUGUUUCAGCGGCUGUUGGAUGACUUAGGGUUGUUACUGGAGGCUUCAAAUCGAUAAAGACUCGCAUCUCUCCUUAAAAUACGAACCAAUAGAUUGGUUCGCUUGGUUUGCGCAUUUUAAGACCCUCUCGAAUUUAUAAUUGAAAUAUUGUGUUAUUUACUGCCAUAUUGUUACUUGACUCUUGUGAUAUUGGUUAUGUGUUACUUGUUAUGAUAUCA